UAGGGAAUAUUGCACAAUGGGGAAGACCCUGAUGCAGCGACGCCGCGUGAAGGAAGAAGUAUCCCGGUAUGUAAACUUCUAUCAGCAGGGAAGACAAUGACGGUACCUGACUAAGAAGCCCCGGCUAACUACGUGCCAGCAGCCGCGGUAAUACGUAGGGGCGAAGCGUUAUCCGGAUUUACUGGGUGUAAAGGGAGCGUAGACGGAUCUGCAAGUCUGGAGUGAAAGCCCGGGGCUCAACCCGGCAGUGCUUGGAAUGACUGUGGAUCUAGAGUGCCGGAGAGGUAAGCGGAAUUCCUAGUGUAGCGGUGAAAUGCGUAGAUAUUAGGAGGAACACCAGUGGCGAAGGCGGCUCACUGGACGGUAAAUGACGCCGAGGCUCGAAAGCGUGGGGAGCAAACAGGAUUAGAUACC
rnacentral:rRNA from 1 species